GACGAACGCUGGCGGCGUGCUUAGCACAUGCAAGUCGAACGGAAAGGCCCUGCUUGCAGGGUACUCGAGUGGCGAACGGGUGAGUAACACGUGGGUGAUCUGCCCUGCACUUCGGGAUAAGCCUGGGAAACUGGGUCUAAUACCGGAUAGGAGCCAUUUUUAGUGUGAUGGUUGGAAAGUUUUUUCGGUGUAGGAUGAGCUCGCGGCCUAUCAGCUUGUUGGUGGGGUAAUGGCCUACCAAGGCGGCGACGGGUAGCCGGCCUGAGAGGGUGGACGGCCACAAUGGGACUGAGAUACGGCCCAGACUCCUACGGGAGGCAGCAGGGGGGAAUAUUGCACAAUGGGCGCAAGCCUGAUGCAGCGACGCCGCGUGGGGGAUGACGGCCUUCGGGUUGUAAACUCCUUUCGCUAGGGACGAAGCUUUUGUGACGGUACCUAGAGAAGAAGCACCGGCUAACUACGUG
rnacentral:rRNA from 1 species